rnacentral:rRNA from 1 species
AUGGUGGGCAAAAUACCUAACGUCACCUGGCUCAAAGGCUCCUAUGUGGAGACCAUAAAGGGGUGGCAAUCGGGGUGGUUCUACAUCACCGAGCCGCGUGACACCAACUGGGUGGCGGCCCCCGAAUUUCGAUCCGGAAUCCCCAUGCGACUCACCUCCUGGAAAGAGAAGGGCCUGUCCUGGGGUUCCCCGAUAGAGCUGACCGGACUCCAGACCUGCAUCAAGAACAUGAUGAGCAAGAAAAUCAAGCUCGUUAACGUGGUCCAGGUCAUGCUCUUCCGUCGAAUUCUCCCGUGUCAACAACGGGUAUUCAAUUUGUGGGAGUUUGACCCGGCCGAGCACCAGACGCUGCGAGAGCUCUUCGACACGACACACAAGGACGUCUGGAAGGUGCUGUUCAAGGGUGCUGAGGUACCUCCUCCCCUUACCGAGGACCGCGGACUCAGCGCAAAGCGCCACGCCAAUCCGGUAAGUUUUUGUAUCUCACAGUGUUGGGGAUAUUACCACUAG